rfam:Glycine soja cultivar W05 scaffold872_29, whole genome shotgun sequence.
UUCUUAUUGGAUGAUGACCGUCAGAUGUCAUUUUCUGAUUGGAUGUUAAUUCCGUGAAAGAUGAAAUGCAUUAUUGUUUUCAUUGACCAAUCAAAACAUGACACGUGACAGUUAUCAUCC